rnacentral:tRNA from 1 species
GGGGAUUUAGCUCAGCGGCAUAAGCGCCUGCCUUGCAAGCAGGCGGUUGUGAGUUCAAUCCCUG